rnacentral:rRNA from 1 species
GGUUGACCUCGGAUCAGGUAGGAAUACCCGCUGAACUUAAGCAUAUCAAUAAGCGGAGGAAAAGAAACCAACAGGGAUUGCCCU